CCUACGGGUGGCAGCAGUGGGGAAUAUUGCACAAUGGGGGAAACCCUGAUGCAGCGACGCCGCGUGAGUGAAGAAGUAUUUCGGUAUGUAAAGCUCUAUCAGCAGGGAAGAAAUAAAGUCCUGUGGACUAUGAACGAUACCUGACUAAGAACCCCCGGCUAACUGCGUUCCAGCAGCCGCGGUAAUACGUAGGGGGCAAGCGUUAGCCGGAUUUACUGGGUGGAAGGGGAGCGUAGACGGCAGCGCAAGUCUGGAGUGAAAUCCCGUGGCUCAACCAUGGAACUGCUUUGGAAACUGUGCAGCUAGAGUGCAGGAGAGGUAAGUGGAAUUCCUAGUGUAGCGGUGAAAUGCGUAGAUAUUAGGAGGAACACCAGUGGCGAAGGCGGCUUACUGGACUGUAACUGACGUUGAGGCUCGAAAGCGUGGGGAGCAAACAGGAUUAGAUACCCCUGUAGUC
rnacentral:rRNA from 1 species